AUUGAACGCUGGCGGCAGGCUUAACACAUGCAAGUCGAGCGAGCGGCGGACGGGUGAGUAAUGUCUGGGAAACUGCCUGAUGGAGGGGGAUAACUACUGGAAACGGUAGCUAAUACCGCAUACCAUCAAAUGUGCCCAGAGGGGAUUAGCUGGUAGUGGGGGUACUGGCUCACCCAGCGGACGAUCCCUAGCUGGUCUGUGAGUCUGACACGCCACACUGGAACGGAGACACGGUCCAGAAUCCGACGGGAGGAGGCAGUGGGGAAUAUUGCACAAUGGGCACAAGCCUGAUGCAGCAAGGCCGCGUGUGGGAAGAAGGCCUUCGGGUUGUAAAGCACUUUCAGCGAGGAGGCGUUACUCGCAGAAGAAGCACCGGCUAACUCCGUGCCAGCAGCCGCGGUAAUAC
rnacentral:rRNA from 1 species